rnacentral:rRNA from 1 species
GACGAACGCUGGCGGCAUGCCUAAUACAUGCAAGUCGAGCGAACAGAUGAAGUGCUUGCACUUCUGACGUUAGCGGCGAACGGGUGAGUAACACGUAAGGAAUCUACCUAUAAGCGGGGGAUAACAUUCGGAAACGGGUGCUAAUACCGCAUAAUAUCUUCUUCCGCAUGGAAGAAGAUUGAAAGACGGCUCUGCUGUCACUUAUAGAUGGCCUUGCGGUGCAUUAGUGAGUUGGUGGGGUAACGGCCUACCAAGACGAUGAUGCAUAGCCGACCUGAGAGGGUGAUCGGCCACAUUGGGACUGAGACACGGCCCAAACUCCUACGGGAGGCAGCAGUAGGGAAUCUUCCGCAAUGGGCGAAAGCCUGACGGAGCAAUGCCGCGUGAGUGAAGAAGGCCUUCGGGUCGUAAAACUCUGUUAUAAGAGAAGAACAAAUUGUAGAGUAACUGCUACAGUCUUGACGGUAUCUUAUCAGAAAGCCACGGCUAACUACGUGCCAGCCGCCGCAGUAA